GAUGAACGCUGGCGGCGUGCCUAAUACAUGCAAGUCGAGCGAACAGACGAGGAGCUUGCUCCUCUGACGUUAGCGGCGGACGGGUGAGUAACACGUGGAUAACCUACCUAUAAGACUGGGAUAACUUCGGGAAACCGGAGCUAAUACCGGAUAAUAUAUUGAACCGCAUGGUUCAAUAGUGAAAGACGGUUUUGCUGUCACUUAUAGAUGGAUCCGCGCCGCAUUAGCUAGUUGGUAAGGUAACGGCUUACCAAGGCGACGAUGCGUAGCCGAACGGAGAGGGUGAUCGGCCACACGGGAACUGAGACACGGUCCAGACUCCUACGGGAGGCAGCAGUAGGGAAUCUUCCGCAAUGGGCGAAAGCCUGACGGAGCAACGCCGCGUGAGUGAUGAAGGUCUUCGGAUCGUAAAACUCUGUUAUUAGGGAAGAACAAAUGUGUAAGUAACUAUGCACGUCUUGACGGUACCUAAUCAGAAAGCCACGGCUAACUACGUG
rnacentral:rRNA from 1 species